rnacentral:rRNA from 1 species
AUUGAACGCUGGCGGCAGGCCUAACACAUGCAAGUCGAGCGGAGCGGCGGACGGGUGAGUACUGCCUAGGAAUCUGCCUGGUAGUGGGGGAUAACGUCCGGAAACGGGCGCUAAUACCGCAUACUAUCAGAUGAGCCUAGGUCGGAUUAGCUAGUUGGUGGGGUAAAGGCCUACCAAGGCGACGAUCCGUAACUGUUCUGAGAGGAUGAUCAGUCACAAUGGAACUGAGACACGGUACAGAAGACUAAGGGAGGCAGCAGUGGGGAAUAAUGGACAAUGGGCGAAAGGCUGAACCAGCCAUGCCGGGUGUGUGAAGAAGGUCUUCGGAUGGUAAAGCAAUUUAGGUUGGGAGGCGUUACCAACAGAAUAAGCAACGGCUAAGUACGUGCCAGCAGCCGCGGUAAUUC